AAAAAAAUACAUCUACUAGAGUUAAACCUAUGACAUAUGGCAUCUACUAGAGUUAAACCUAUGACAUAUGGGUCAAAGAGAGGUAGUUUAACCAAUUCACCACAGCAACAACAUUAUUAAUGCACGUAUAAACAGUUAUUUAUAGGUUUCACAUGGGUCAAUUGACCACCCUCUCUCCAAUUGAUUGGAAAACUUUUAUAUUGAUUGUGACCUGUCUCAUGUUUCUUAUACGCUAGGUCAUUCUCCACGAUUAAUAUUAUGUUGCUUAUGUUUUCGGUUAGUUAGACCAUCUCCAACCCACCUUUAUUUUUAUCUCUGUAUUUUCUCUUAAAAUAGAAAAACUCUAUUAUAGAGGUGAAAAUGCUUCAAUGUAUGCCUCUACAAUAGAGCUUCUCUAUAUAUAGAGAAAAAUAUAGAGAUAUGAUAUUUCAAACUCUAAAUAUAGAUGCAAAAAAUAAAUUUUCUCUAUAUUUUCCUCUAAAAUAGAGGAACUCUAUUAUAAAGGCAUACAUUGGAGCAUUUUUACCUCUAUAAUAGAAAUUUCUAUUUUAGAGGAUAAUAUAGAGGUGUACAUUGAAAAUGCUCUUAAGUAUAAUAUUACAAGCCUCACGAGUCAUAAUUAUGUUCUAAAACUCUUAUACAUUCAUAGCGUAUCUUCCAACAAAAUAAAUGAGAGAGGUGUAGUUUUGAUUAAAUGGACGACAAAAAAUAGAAAAUAAACUGCAAGUAUGUUCCCACGUCGAUUAGCAGCGUAACCUAAAUUAUGAAACCGCAAACGCUUUUUUAUUGUCAGUAUUUUUAAUACUUCAGUUCAUAUAAAGCAGACAAAAUAUAAAUUGCUUGUCUACAUUCAGGAUCAGGAGAUAUUUGGUUGGAAAGCAUGAAGGGGGAUUAAAAAACAUUACCAUAAUAAAUUUUCAGGAAAUAAUUUAAGUAAGAUAUGACAGAACAAAUUAAAGGCAGGUAUAUAUAUACUAGUAGUGCUAAUGUUGAUAUAUUUAUUCAGUUUCAUCAGACAUUAAAUAAAAUUAUCAAAACUUUGGAACUAUAUUAGUAAGCUUUAGGCAAUUUCAUUUGCAGUCUCUCAAAAAAGUCUGUAUAAUUGAUAUAUAUAUAUAUUUUUUUUUAAAGAGGAAAGAGAUUGAAAAUCGGUUCUCAUACAGAAAGACCUAAACAUAAUUGAGAUAUUUUCUCAACUCUUUAUUGAUCCAACUUUUUUACUUUAAAAUUUUAAUUAGAAACUAAAACAUUUGUGUGAGAUACACGCUCAAGUCUAUCAGUGAUGCUUUUAAAAUUUCAUUAAAAAUAUAAAACUUUAGUUUUCCAUGAAAAGAGUUAAAAAGAAGAAUUACUAAUAAAAAGACUUCAUCUUCAAAAAAAAUCUCAUUCUUACAGUCUCAAUAAAAAUGAAGUAAAUUCUUGAAAAAUAUAAAAUAUAAAAUGAUCAGAAAACCUUUUUAAAAUAUAAACAUUGUUCGACAAAUGGGCAACAUGCUAUAAAAGGAAAGCACGGGUGUUUAGCGGACGGUUUAGCCUCUAUAAUCGAGCAGAUAUUUAAUUAACUCAAAUCUUAUAUUUUUUAUACGAAUAGUCGUCGGAUACUAAGGAAGAAAAAUAUGUACUGCUAAGAUAUGUUCGAAAAUUUCCAUGCAUAUUAGAGCAUGAUUAAUCCGGAGUUCUAAGGAUGGGGUUCUUAACGGAAGUUAAGAAACUGUUUCUUAACUUUUAACUAAAAAAACUAAGAACUGGUUCUUAAAUAAGGAACAGUUUAGACCAUCAUCAUCGCAGUUUCUUAGAUAAGUUUUUAAAGAAAAUAAGACAAUUAAUUAAAUGGAAACAAAAUUAAAAGCUUAUAAUCGAUCCUUAGUUAAUAAUUUUUGUUACCGAUCAUAGAAGAGUUUCUUAUAACACGUGUCAGCUUCUAGGGUUUUUGUUUUUUUCUUCUUUCUUUUCUUUUCUUCCUCUCCUCUUCUCUCAUCUUCUCUCGUGUUCUCCGUCGAGGAGAAACGUCGAUGGUGUUGGAGCUCCGUCUUGGAGGAAGAGCGGCGCCGUCUCAUUUCGUCACGCUUCGCCUCGUUUCAUCACGCUUCGCCUCAGGCUGUUCUGAGAGGGGAUUUGAUGCUCUUUCCUAAUUAUUUUCUAUUUGUACUCUCAGCUUAAGUAAGUUUUUAUCCGUGUAUUGCAGGCAUUUGACAUAGCUUUCCUUCAAAGUUCAUUGUCAAUUGUAUCAUUUGUUUCUAUGCUUUUGGAAUUGAAAGUACUUAUUUAUUGAUGCAAAGUCUUUCUGUUGGAUCA